GCCUCUUUAGUUCAGUGGUAGAACGCUGCACUCGUACGGGACUCCCUACUUGUGUAAUGCAGUGGUCAGCCGUUCAAUCCGGCUAGGAGGCA